GAAAAUUUGCUCUUUGAGUAUUUUGUCCAGUAGGUUUCCUCUAGGAGAAAGCCCCC
rfam:Salmo salar isolate Sally breed double haploid chromosome ssa09, whole genome shotgun sequence.